AGCCUUCCGUAUCAAUGCUGAGAUUUCGUCACACACCAGACCACAAGGACUGAUAAGAUUCCCAAGAUAAGUGAAGCG
rfam:Schistosoma rodhaini strain Burundi genome assembly, scaffold: SROB_scaffold0003557